GCCCAAUUUCGCACGUGCCUGUGGUUGCGUGCCGGCUUCGCGGGAUCGAGAGAACCUCGACUCCUCGCGAGGGCAAGCCGGUGACCGGAGUUUAACCGGGUCUAAGCCGACGCUCUGUCGGCGGACGCGACUUGAAGCAACGACGUAGAGGGCUUUU
rnacentral:sRNA from 1 species